rfam:Saccharomyces kudriavzevii IFO 1802 unplaced genomic scaffold c1777, whole genome shotgun sequence.
GCGGAUUUAGCUCAGUUGGGAGAGCGCCAGACUGAAGAAGAUACUUCGGUCAAGUAAUCUGGAGGUCCUGUGUUCGAUCCACAGAAUUCGCA